rnacentral:rRNA from 1 species
CGAAAGGGAGAGUAACACGUGGAUACCUACCCUCGGGACCGGGAUAGCUGCGGGAAACUGCAGGUAAUACCGGAUAACACCUCCGGGUCAAAUGGUGUGAUUCCGCCUGAGGAGGGGUCCCGCGUCCUAUUAGCUUGUUGGUGGGGUAAUGGCCUACCAAGGCAACGAUGGGUAGCGGGUGUGAGAGCAUGGCCCGUCUCACUGGGACUGAGACACUGCCCAGACACCUACGGGUGGCUGCAGUCGAGAAUCUUCGGCAAUGGGCGCAAGCCUGACCGAGCGACGCCGCGUGCGGGAUGAAUGCCUUCGGGUUGUAAACCGCUGUCAGAGGGGAUGAAAUGCCAUGGGAUACUCUCCAUGGUUUGACAGAUCCUCAGAGGAAGGACGGGCUAAGUUCGUGCCAGCAGCCGCGGUAAGACGAACCGUCCAAACGUUAUUCGGAAUCACUGGGCUUAAAGGGUGCGUAGGCGGCUCGGUAAGUCGGGUGUGAAAUCCCACGGCUCAACCGUGGAAUUGCGCUCGAUACUGCCAGGCUUGAGGGAGAUAGAGGUGAGCGGAACUACAGGUGGAGCGGUGAAAUGCGUUGAUAUCUGUAGGAACGCCGGUGGCGAAAGCGGCUCACUGGGUCUCUUCUGACGCUGAGGCACGAAAGCUAGGGUAGCGAACGGGAUUAGAUACCCCGG